rnacentral:rRNA from 1 species
UACGUAGGGUGCGAGCGUUAAUCGGAAUUACUGGGCGUAAAGGGCGCGCAGGCGGUUCUGCAAGUCAGGCGUGAAAUCCCCGGGCUUAACCUGGGAAUGGCGCUUGAAACUACGGGACUGGAGUAUGGCAGAGGGAGGUGGAAUUCCCCGUGUAGCGGUGAAAUGCGUAGAGAUGUGGAGGAACACCGAUGGCGAAGGCAGCGUCCUGGGCCAAUACUGACGCUCAGGCACGAAAGCGUGGGGAGCAAACAGG